AAGAAGCUGACAAGUCAAAUACCCCAAAUACCGCCCUUCUCAUCUGUCCAUUGUAUUUGGCUUGAAAAUUGAUAGUUCCUGAUAAUGCAACUAUGCUUGCCACAUCUACAACAAGUACCUCUCCCACUUCAAGAUUUUUCUGUACAACUGAAUGAUGAAAAACAUUGGGCAGGAAUAAAGGGAUCAGAUGAUAAAACUUGUGAUGUUCAAUACACUUAAGAUUCCUUAAUAUCAUAAAACAGAAAAAAUUUAAUGGGCCAAGUAUUUCGUAUUUGGCAACAAAUACGUUAGAAAUCUUAACCAUCCAAUUCUCAUGAGAAACACCAAUAGCAUCCCAAUGAACACAUAAUGCUUUGUAUUCACUGAGAAGGAUCAUCUUUCUGACUAUAACCAACAUCUAAGUACACUGUAGAUCUUCACAUUAAGAUUAAGAAUAUAUUACAAUAAUCGGUGUCCAAAAUUAAAAUAACGUUUGUCGGAAAUCAGAAAAACAUGACGAUAGCAUCUCAUUGCCUGUAUCUAAGAUAGUUUUAAAGUUUCUAGGACGACCCACAUUUUCUCUCUUUUGCCGGUUUAAACAUACAACAUGAAUCAAACACUUAAAUUAUAGCCAUGCCUAAAAAGUGAAAAAGGUUUUUUCACAGUAACUGAGAUUCAGCUUCAUACCAGAACCGCCUCCGACUAUAAAAGCAAGCCCUUGUCC
rnacentral:lncRNA from 1 species